CCUACGGGUGGCAGCAGUGGGGAAUAUUGCGCAAUGGGGGCAACCCUGACGCAGCAACGCCGCGUGAUUGAAGAAGGCCUUCGGGUUGUAAAGCUCUUUAAUUGGGGACGAAACAGAUGACGGUAGCCCCACAAUAAGCUCCGGCUAACUACGUUCUAGCAGCCGCGGUAAUACGGAGGGAGCAGGCGUUGGCGGGAUUUACUGGGUGUAGUGGGCGAGUAGGCGGGCUGGUAAGUAGGGAGUGAAAGCCCGGGGCUCAACCCCGGAACUGCAUAUGAAACUGCUGGUCUUGAGUGAUGGAGGGGCAGGCGGAAUUCCGGGUGUAGCGGUGAAAUGCGUAGAUAUACGGAGGAACACCAGUGGCGAAGGCG
rnacentral:rRNA from 1 species